rnacentral:rRNA from 1 species
GACGUAGUUUGAUCAUGGCUACAGAACGAACGCUGGCGGCAUGCCUAACACAUGCAAGUCGAACGAGUAUGGUCUAGCUUGCUAGAACCCAGCUAGUGGCAAACGGGUGAGUAACGCGUGGGAACGUGCCCUCUUCUACGGAAUAGCCUCGGGAAACUGGGAGUAAUACCGUAUACGCCCUUAGGGGGAAAGAUUUAUCGGAGGAGGAUCGGCCCGCGUUGGAUUAGGUAGUUGGUGGGGUAAUGGCCUACCAAGCCGACGAUCCAUAGCUGGUUUGAGAGGAUGAUCAGCCACACUGGGACUGAGACACGGCCCAGACUCCUACGGGAGGCAGCAGUGGGGAAUCUUAGACAAUGGGCGCAAGCCUGAUCUAGCCAUGCCGCGUGAGCGAUGAAGGCCUUAGGGUUGUAAAGCUCUUUCAGGGGGGAAGAUAAUGACUGUACCCCCAGAAGAAGCCCCGGCUAACUCCGUG